AACUGCUGUUCUCUAGCCACAUGCUCAAAACUAUUAAGUGCCAAGAGGUUAUGCUAGAGUGGGUUGUUACCAUGUUAUUUUCAACCCAAGUGUAUGGAUGAAUAAGCCUUAUCUCUUUUACAAGCUUGAAGGAUGAGGAAGAGCCUGGUCAAGGUAUCAUGACAGGAGAGAGAGCAAGGGAUGAAGGAGCGGGAUGGGGCUUAUAUACUAAGGAGGCGGAGCAAAGGAACAUGACCUAUUUUGGGUGCCAGGUGCAUAUACAGCAUGUGCAUUAUCCCUCACAGAGUAAAUUUGCAGAGUUAGAAAAGGAAAUUAUAGUAUAAUUGUUGUAAACAAUGUUGAAAGGGGGAUACUUCACAGAAGGAAAGCUGGAUAAUAAGAAGCACUUUAAUCCUGAACGUUGCAUAAAUGCCAUGAAGCUAAGCCAUUCCAAGAGUCAUUCCAUGAGGAAAAAAAAAAAAAGACUUGCUGGGGUUACUGCUUUAAAUCUGUGAACAAUUGUUCUUUGUUGGUAUAAAUGUGUGUACAAUCAGAAUUACAGAAUGCAAGAGUUGAAAAAGCUGUAGAAAAUCAUUCUACAUGUAAGCAUAUACAGUAUAGAAUGUUUGGGAGAAAUGCAACUUUUUAUGAUUUUGUAGAUAUAAAUAUUGUAGAUCAUCAUCACUGGAUAAAUAGAAAUGCCAAGGAAUAAUGCAUUCAUAGUUUUUAAUGUAUCUUCCAUUGAUAUUUUACCCUUAUCAGUACAUAUUGCUUGAUUGCUAUGUAAUGAAUGUAAUCUUUUUCAAAGAUGUACAUCUCUUGCUACAUUUCAAGGUUUGGAAUAUUAGAAUAAUAAAAAACAAUAUGAAUGAUAA